rnacentral:rRNA from 1 species
CCUACGGGAGGCAGCAGUAGGGAAUUUUCGUCAAUGGGCGCAAGCCUGAACGAGCGAUGCCGCGUGAGUGAAGAAGGCCUUCGGGUCGUAAAGCUCUGUUGCGGGGGAAAUAAGGCAGCAUCAGGAAAUGGGUGCUGACUGAUGGUGCCCCGCCAGAAAGUCUCGGCUAACUACGUGCCAGCAGCCGCGGUAAUACGUAGGUGCCGAGUGUUAUCCGGAAUGAUUUGGCGUAAGGGGUGCGCAGGCGGUCCUGCAAGUCUGGAGUGAAACGCAUGGGCUCAACUCAUGCAUGGCUUUGGAAACUGGAGGACUGGAGAGCAGGAGAGGGCGGUGGAACUCCAUGUGUAGCGGUAAAAUGCGUAGAUAUAUGGAAGAACACCAGUGGCGAAGGCGGCCGCCUGGCCUGUUGCUGACGCUGAUGCUCGAAAGCGCGGGUAUCGAACAGGAUUAGAUACCCUAGUAGUC